rnacentral:rRNA from 1 species
AUGUAAGAAUUUAAAGGUCGAACAGACCUAUACAUUAAGCGACUACACCUAAUUAUUAUCUUAAUUCAACAUCGAGGUCGCAAGCCUUCCUGUAAAUAUGAACUCUGAAGGAAGAUUACGCUGUUAUCCCUAAGGUAACUUAAUCUAAUAAUCAAUAAAACUGGAUCUAAAAUUCAUAAAUCAAUGUUAUAUAAAUAAAAAAGUUAAUUAUAUAUUUUUGUCACCCCAACAAAAUAAAUAAAACAAUAAAUAAAUUUAAUUAUACAAAAAUUUAAAUAAAAAUUAUAUUUAUAAAGCUCUAUAGGGUCUUCUCGUCUUCCAAAUUAAUUUCAGCAUUUUAACUGAAAAGUUAAAUUUUAAUUACAAAUUGAAUGAGACAGCUAACAAUUCGUCAAACCCUUCAUACCAGCCCCCUAUUAAAAGACUAAUGAUUAUGCUACCUUUGCACGGUCAAAAUACCGCGGCCGUUAAAAAUUUAUCACUGGGCAGGUCAGACUUCAUAUAUAAGCAAGAAGACAUGUUUUUGAUAAACAGGCGAUUGUUAUAUUUGCCGAGUUCCUUAUUCAAUUAUAUUAAAUAAUAUUAUUUAAUACAAAAUCCUAUACUAAUUUAAUCAUUAUUACAAACUUUUUAUAGUUUAAAAUAAUAUUUUAAUAAAAUACUAAAACCUAAGUAAAUCCAAUUAUAUUAAAAUGAACUACAACGAACUCAAUAAAUGAUAGCUAAUUUAAAGCCUACAUAUUUUAAUAAUAAUAAAAGUUAUAGUCAUAAAACUAGAGCUUAUCCCCUAGAAUUUUAAUUUUAAAUUAUAAAUAUUUAAUUUAAUUAAAUAUUUAAAAAUAAAAUCUAAAUUAAAUUUAAUUCUUAAAAAACU